GAUGAAGAACGUAGCGAAAUGCGAUAAGUAGUGUGAAUUGCAGAAUUCAGUGAAUCAUCGAAUCUUUGAACGCACAUUGCGCCCCUUGGUAUUCCAUGGGGCAUGCCUGUUCGAGCGUCAUUUGUACCUUCAAGCUUUGCUUGGUGUUGGGUGUUUGUCUCGCCUUUGCGUGUAGACUCGCCUUAAAAUAAUUGGCAGCCGGCGUAUUGAUUUCGGAGCGCAGUACAUCUCGCGCUUUGCACUCAUAACGACAGCGUCCAAAAGUACAUUUUACACUCUUGACCUCGGAUCAGGUAGGGAUACCCGCUGAACUUAAGCAUAUCAAGCGGAGGA
rnacentral:misc_RNA from 1 species